rnacentral:lncRNA from 1 species
GAGGAGUUUAUGAGUGCUUUUAAAGAAGAAAUGGAUAUUUCUGACAGGUUAGAGAGGGUACAGAAGGCGAUAGAAGGGGCUACCGAGGAUUUGGAGUUGAUGGGAAGGCUUUUGGAUGAGUUUGAUUUGUUGCAGAGGAGGGCUCAGGCUGUGGAUUUGGAUGAGGUUGAUGCUAAGGUUAGUAAGUUGAUGCCAGAGCUUGGGUUUUCCCCCGAGGAUUCCGAUAGGUUGGUCGCAAGUUUUAGUAGCGGAUGGCAGAUGAGGAUGUCACUUGGGAAGAUUUUGUUGCAGG